UACGUAGGGUGCGAGCGUUGUCCGGAAUUAUUGGGCGUAAAGAGCUCGUAGGCGGUGUGUCACGUCGGCCGUGAAAACCUGCAGCUUAACUGUGGGCGUGCGGUCGAUACGGGGCAUCACUGGAGUUCGGCAGGGGAGACUGGAAUUCCUGGUGUAGCGGUGAAAUGCGCAGAUAUCAGGAGGAACACCGGUGGCGAAGGCGGGUCUCUGGGACGGUACUGACGCUGAGACGCGAAAGCGUGGGGAGCGAACAGG
rnacentral:rRNA from 1 species